UCAAAAUUUUUCUUUCUCCUGUAGAGGUGAAGGCAGUUACCUCCAGCUGGGUGUCCUGUGUACCACGGUCAUUUCAGCACAGACACCUGGGAUCCGCACAGUCUUUUAUCGCUCCUUCGUGCUGGCAGAGUGCGACAAAGGAUGCCCGCGGCAGUGUCCACAGCGGUGCCCGGCGGAGCCCUCCUGCAGAGCUUGGGGUCUCCCGUGGUGCCUCAGCCUGCUGGCACCAGCACAGUACAGCUAAGGACGCGCAGCAGCAGGUUUCAAACAUCAUGUAUCUCGGUCUGGGGCAAUAAUCAACAGGUCUUGGGUACUUACCCAAGUAAUGGGUUUGCAGCAGUGCUUUUCCAGACUAGGUUUUCAGAGCAUCAUCAGCAUCCAUCAGAUUUGGCCAGAUUUUCAGAGGAUUUCAGCAUGCAGCACAUACCUGGUAUUUCAUGUUCUUUUACAGAUUUGGCUGUUUAUAUUGCUGCUUUCAUGGGAGCUGAACUCAGCAGUGACUGCUUACGUCUGACCCCAGACAGUUACUCAUCAAAACAUGCUAUACACUUACAAAUUAAAUGCUAUUUUAAAGCCCAGUCUGGCAAACAUUCAGCAGCCAGUUUGGUACUUAUCACUAGGAUUAUCCUAAGUGCCUUCAAGAUCACUUCCUGAGUAAGUUUUAUUUAUAUGUUGUGAAUAACUGUUUGCAUCCAGGCCAGGCGGAAUUUCUCCUCUUAGUUCCUCCUCUUAGAGGAGCGGCAGGAACGACUGUACUCUCUCUGUGCUGCUCUGAAAGCCCGAAGUGCUCCAAAAGGAAGGUCGGACAAAGCGUUUCUUCACAUUAAUUCCUUUGAGUGGCAUUUAGACUUAGCCAAGUGUGUUACAGACUUUUAUUACAAUAGCAAAGUCAGUGCUGGGAAGUUUUGCUCUUGCAUGGUUUGUAGCUCUGGCACUACGGAGACCUUUUAAGAGCACGGGAGCUGCUGAAAAGAAUUACCUUGAGGUACUCUGGGGCCUCUUUCUGCUGUAAUUCUGCCAUCUCCUCCAGCGGUGGGGAAUUAACCACGGCUCCCCGAGUGCUGCCACAUUUGCUGCCAGCCGAUGCCGUCUCCCUCUGGGCCAGCAGGUUACAGCACCGGUUAGCUCGCGCGGACACAAACCCUUGGAAAGGCGACGGGACGGGACGGGACAGCAGGAGAGUAAAGCUUCGGUGUACGCCUGGCGCAAGUGCAGGAAAUGUAGCGCAUUCUGCUGCAGCAAAGGCUCCUCUGCCCCCUCCGGACCUGGGUGACGCUGGCCUAAAGGGGUUUCUUCCCACCUAUCUUCAGUCCCCAGAAGGCAGCCAACUACUCCUGCUGGUGACUUAGGCUCUUUCUGUAGCAGAGAAAUUGGGAGGCACCUCUGGAGGCCAAGUCAAAGCUCAGAUCUGCAGCAGAGGAAUUUCUUGAUGCCUGAUUGCAGCCAACAGGAGCUGUCAGCUGGACUGCAGACUUCAAGGACGGGUGCCCAGGUCAGCUGUAUCCUUCUGGGGGAUUUCCAGAUGAUGACCCAUUAUAGGAUGUUCUACAGAAAAGAAAUCGGCUUGGAUUCAGCACAGGGUCAAAGAUUGCCAACGAGCUCCCGGUAGCACAGCAGAAGGCCGGCCUCUCCUGCCGACGUAUCGGCUGUAUUACAAAGUGGGAUUUCAAGGUAAAAUCUUGAGCAUCGCGAGUGGUGGCAGCAGGUCCCCACCAAGCAGCAAAGCCUUCUCCCCGAGGAGCAGAUGGGUAAUGGUGAGAUACACCAGAGAUGGGCUGGGGGGAGAGGGGGAGAAAGGGGGAAAUUAAAUGUUACCAUUGUCUUUUUGUCUGACUGGGAGCCAGGGCAGAGAGACGUCGCUGAGCUGUGCUGCUGACACCGACUGAAGAUCAGUCCCUGGCUUUUACAACACACAGGGGCAAUUAAAUUUUACACAGUGCCUCACGUUUCGUAGUAAAAUUCAGUGUCACCCUGAGAUCUGCAGGAGUCCAGCACUCGUGGCAGUCAGCGGUAAUGUCAGAGGCUGCCUGCCCGCCAGCAGAGGAAGGAUAUUUAUAUUUUCCUGGUGAAGCACCUGACAAACGUCAUGUUCUGAGAUAGUUUGCAGCUCCCGUUGGGCAGCCUGGUGCUCUGGCUGCUCCAGCGCCAGGAGGCAGCGGGCAGCGAUGGGCAGCGGUUGGGGUUUUUCCCCCAGUCAGCUCCAGUUAGGCAGUUGCACGGGGGACGGUGUGGUGUCACCUGCAGAUGCCCCCGUCUCUCCCUGCAGCGAGGCACGCCGUGCCCCGAGAGCCGGGCGAGGAUGGACGCUGGCUGCCCAGGGACACGGGCUGCGGCAGUUUCCCCUCGGGAUUUUCCCAGCAGCGCAGGGCUGUAGCGAUGCUGCGUGGCCGCACGCUUGUUCUGCCAGAUUUCUCUGAACAAACACUACAUGUCAUAAACAAGGUUACUGAACAUUUUUUUAACUAAAAGCAUGCAAUAUGUAGGGUUUAAGUUGUUUAAUGAAGCAUUAUAAUUGAAUGGUAAUAGCUGUUCUUUCAAAGUCCUGAAAAUAGAUGGAAAUCUGUUAGGAUCAAUGUAUUGUCUACAGGGAACUAAUCUAUCUCUGAAAGAAGCUGGUGAUUUGUUCUUGUUGUUCUAUGAAAUUAGAAAAUACUGCUAUUUAUGAAGCACAUUUAUAAACCUUGCUCUCUACUUUUAAAGAGUUGGCUUAAGGGUAUUUACUACAAUUCACAUUUAUCAAAUAAUGCACAUGUAGCUCCAUUACAAAACCAACUUCAAUUAAAAACAGAUUUGAGAAGUAAUGUAGUAUGUAGGCUGUAAAGCUCUAGUGGAAGGAAAAUGUACCUGGUUAAAGAAUCAAAUGCAGCUCUUAAAACCUGGACUGGUGGUAUUUUAGCCUUUAAUACAAUUGUGUUCCCAUAAAACCUUUUAUUGGCAUGAUGCUGGUCAUGGAGAUGACUGCCAAAGUCAUUCUGCCAGUGACUUUGCAGAAUUUGGUCUCCUUGUAAGUGAACAGCAAUGUAUGAGUAACAAAGCAAGAACGUGUAUUUUUUUAUGAACGUUCAGACUAGGUCUGUAUCUGAACAGGAAAUCAAUGUUCAGGUGACUAGGUGGGACAGGUAAUGGGAAUUUUAAACCCCAUGGGAAAUAAAAAAUGAAAGAAACAGAGACCAUUGGGCUGUACUUCAGGAGUUUUCUGCACUCAGAGGUGUUGUACCUUAAAAACCACACACCGUUGUCAUAUGUUAUCAAAAUCCAUUCCGAGCUCUUACAUGUCCACUUGACUUCUGCGAGGAGAAGAGUAAAAUGAAAAUGUUGUAAUGGAUUAGAGAAAGCUAAACAAGCCAGCGCCUUUCAGUGUGAGCCUGUGACAUGUCAGAACUGGCAAAAUAUUUCACUGUGCAAGUUAUUAAAAAUGAGGAAAUUGUA